CCUACGGGGGGCAGCAGUGGGGAAUAUUGGACAAUGGGGGCAACCCUGAUCCAGCAAUGCCGCGUGUGUGAAGAAGGCCUGAGGGUUGUAAAGCACUUUUGUUAGGGAGGAUGGUACUCUAUGUUAAGAGCUAGGAGUAUUGACGUUACCUAAAGAAUAAGCACCGGCUAACUCCGUGCCAGCAGCCGCGGUAAUACGGAGGGUGCAAGCGUUAAUCGGAAUUACUGGGCGUAAAGGGUGCGUAGGCGGUCUUGUAAGUUAUCUGUGAAAUCCCUGGGCUUAACCUAGGUAGGAAAGAUAAGACUGCAGGACUGGAGUGUGGUAGAGGAUAGUGGAAUUUCAGGUGUAGCGGUGAAAUGCGUAGAUAUCUGAAGGAACACCAGUGGCGAAGGCGGCUAUCUGGACCAACACUGACGCUGAGGCACGAAAGCGUGGGGAGCAAACAGGAUUAGAUACCCUAGUAGUC
rnacentral:rRNA from 1 species